UAAGGAAUAUUGCGCAAUGGGCGACAGCCUGACGCAGCGACGCCGCGUGGGGGAUGAAGGUCUUCGGAUUGUAAACCCCUUUCGGCAGGGAAGAUGGAACGGGUAACCGUUCGGACGGUACCUGCAGAAGCAGCCACGGCUAACUUCGUGCCAGCAGCCGCGGUAAUACGAAGGUGGCAAGCGUUGUUCGGAUUUACUGGGCGUACAGGGAGCGUAGGCGGUUGGGUAAGCCCUCCGUGAAAUCUCCGGGCCUAACCCGGAAAGUGCGGAGGGGACUGCUCGGCUAGAGGAUGGGAGAGGAGCGCGGAAUUCCCGGUGUAGCGGUGAAAUGCGUAGAGAUCGGGAGGAAGGCCGGUGGCGAAGGCGGCGCUCUGGAACAUUUCUGACGCUGAGGCGCGAAAGCGUGGGGAGCAAACAGGAUUAGAUACCCCCGUAGUCCCUGAGCGGGCUGGCAAGGCGCAU
rnacentral:rRNA from 1 species